UUAUUUGUUAGUGGGCUGUAAGGUCUCUGCAUUCUUCUUCUCAUCUUGCAUUAUCAGAUGAUAUUAUACAUAUUCAUCAGAGCCUUUAUAAACUAUGGGAAUUCAUUAUCUAUUUAGACUAUCAUGAAAAUAAUUAUUCUCUUAUCUCUUUUUUCAGUGUCGAUUGCCGUCUGAUUGUUGUAAGUGAAAAUAGUAAAUCAUACAUACAUACAUAAAUAAAUAAAUAGCAUCCUGCGUCUCUGAUUUGCCAGAUUCAUCAUAACAUGCUAAUUAAUCAAUACUCACUGAUGAAACCUCACAUACCUCACUCAUAUUCACUCUUCUUUUUCUCUCUUUUGUUGGUGUCUACAGCAGCUACAUACACCCCAAAGGCUCUUUUCAGAGCCACAUCACGAGAGCGUCUUUGCCUUUCAGCUACAUACACCCCAAAGGCUCUUUUCAGAGCCACAUCACGAGAGCGUCUUUGGCUUUCGUCAGUGUAGGUGAAAGAUGGAAGAAGAAUAUCCAUGCACAGAAAUGGCUGCUCC